rnacentral:rRNA from 1 species
UAUUGCGCAAAGCCUGAAACCCCAACGCAGCGACCCCGCGUGGGGGAUGAAGGUUUUAAGAUUGUUAACCCCUUUCGGGAGGGAUUAUCGAAUGGGGUAAGCCAUUAGGACGGUACCUCCAGAAUCAGCCCCGGCUAACUUCGUGCCAGCAGCCGCGGUAAUACGUAGGUGGCAAGCGUUAUUCGGAUUUACUGGGCGUACAGGGAGCGCAGGCGGUUUGGUAAGCCCUAUGUGAAAUCCCCAGGCUUAACCUGGAAAAGUCGGAGGGGACUGUUGGGCUAGAGGACGGGAGAGGAGGGCGGAAUUCCCGGUGUAGCGGUGAAAUGCGUAGAUAUGGGGAGGAACGCCGGUAGCGAAGGCGACUCCCUGGACGACUACUGACGCUGAUGCGCGAAA